rnacentral:lncRNA from 1 species
CAACAACAGGAAUUUAAAGAAUCAUGCUUACGCCGAGUUACUUAAAAUUUGGAAGAAGUUUGAUACCGAAGCCGACCAAAAGACCGUAAAAUAAAAAAAUCAGUCACUAAGAGGAUCUUUCCGAAAGGAACUAAAAAAGGUUGAAAAGUCGGAGCGAUCCGGCAAAGGAACUGAGGAAAUCUACAAAUCACAUUUGUGGUACUUUAACUUAAUGAUGUUCCUAAUAGACCAAGAAUGACCAGCAGAGAGUAUCGAUAAUAUUACGUCCGUAACUCCAAAUCUGACUGAAGUUGAUGAAAGUCAGGAAGCUAAUCAAAAAGUAAAUGAAGAUACUGGGGGAAUAGAAGAUAAUGAAGGAUUAGAAGAAACAAAUGAGGUGAUGAACACACCAUCAGUUUUCGAAAAAGGGAAAAGGAAAUAUGCUGAAGAAAACGGGCAUGUUACUGGUAAGAAACAGAAAGUCAAUGAAGGAAGAAAAAGAAAAAUAUUCAUUCAAAAAUGUACAGAAGCCCUCACAGCCACACCAACUGAAAGUGAAGCGUUAGCUCAGUACAUCGCUGCCAAAUUCGAAAAAGUUACGAAGUUGGAACAAAAAAUGUAUGCCGAAACGCUGCUGACAAAAGUGCUGAAUAGAGCUAUAAUGAAUAAACUAGAUGAAUCUACAGAUUUGACUAAUGCUUCACGGACAUAUCACCCUUGCGAACGUUCAUCUGUACAGUCUACAACAUCUCAGUAUUCAUAAACUAUGAUCAAUUCUCCUUCAUCGCCAGUAAUACCAUUCAGUCCAAAUACCACAGAAACACAAAAUGAAAUUUUUAAUGGUAUCUCACAAAUACAAACACUUUCUAAUACUGCGGCUACCGCCACAGAAAUGCAAGAUUUCUUUUCCCCAAAUUUAAAGGAUUUCUAUGCUAAUGUUUCUAAGGAAUUUAUUGAUUAAAUAAUGUAGACUUACACAAAAAUGAAACAUUAUGAAUAAAAUGGAUGUAGUUUUACUUACUUUUAGAUACUCCUUAUGUAGAACUUGGUAAAUUGCUUUACAUGUUUCCGGAAUUAUAGCGCCAAGACACUGUGCAACUCCCGCAGGAGGCUCAUGUGACUGUAAACUUCACGCUGAAGUAGCCAAGAUUUUGACCAUUUCCUUCUUCUUUUUUUUCAAGAGAAACUCACUAGCAAGUCCAACACACGCAAUUAUUGUUCUUUUAGUCUUCAUUUUUAGUUUAGCACUAAGAAGAAAAUCGAAUAGCGACCCUUGCAACUUAUAAUAAUCUUGAAAGGAAACACCAAUCCUCUUCGUUUCAGUAAAAGGAUGGAAUAGAACGAUAAAUUGUAAGGAAAGUGAUAUUUCUGACCACUAACUGACAUUCAUUCCAGCGAAAUCGAUUUUGCUUAUAAAAUUGAGGCGUCACAGUAUUUUUUGUUAGUGGACUAUGAAGAGAUUAUUAUCCAUGUUAAAUAUGAAAUGAUAGACUUGCAUGAAAGUUUGAGAGGAAAGAUCGCCCAAUAAGUUUUUCAAUUAGUGGACGACUACAGUUUUAUUUUCCAUUCAGAUUUAUGAAAGGAAAGAAUGUUGAAGUAAAGAAUGACAGUAUUGAACACUCGUCUGUGGGUAGCUAAUGUUUGGGCUGGUAUCGUGAAAAAUAAAGUAAUAGGGCCAUACUUUUUCGAAGAAAACUUAAUAGGACAACACUAAUUGAAUUUUCAUUAAGAAGAUCUUAUCCCUGCUUUGGCUGCACUAUACCCAGACGAACAAGACCCUGCUGUCCCGACAGAUAAUUUAUGUGGUUUCAGCAAGACGGCGCACCGCCACAUUUCUUUCGAGAUGUCGUAAUUACUUGAAUACAGUGUUGCCAGUAAUAUGGAUAGAACGAAGAGGGCCAAUAGAGUGGCCGGCCAGGUCACCAGACCUAAAUUCCUGCGACUAUUCUUUAUGGGAGUACCUGAAAAGUAAAGUUUAUGUUGGGAAGCCCAACAACGUAGAACAUUUGAAAAAUAGAAUUAGAUAUGAAAUUAGACGUAUAUCACCCGAAAUAAUUGAUAGUGUUUUACAUGAGUUUGUAAACCGUCUUGCUUUCUGCCAAGAAGUAAAUGGGAAUCAGUUUGAAUACUUGAUACAUUAAUAAAAGUUUUCACAGUUUAUAACAUUUUAUCCUCCAUUUUAUCCUAAUUUGUAAAUAGACGUACUUACUUGCUUUCUUGUUGGUUAAAUGUAAGUAUUUCUGAAACAGUUGAGUUUUCAGAUAAGGUGUUUUAUGCGAAACUUGCUUGGAAUUUCGCCUAUAUUUCAUAAAUGCAAUAAAAAAUAUAGCAUUCCAUUUAAAAAAAAUGACCGAUGAUGUCAUAUCUUUUUUUUUGUUCCACCCUGUAUACAAAAAUUUAUGUGAAAUAAUGCGCAACUUAAAAUAAAAAUCGACGCGUCCGAGCGUCUCUAAUUUUUAUCGAAUGUAGGCGGUCACUGUAUAAUUUAUGUAGAAUUUAAAAUUAAGAAUAAUAAUAAUAUCCUCGGAGGUUAUGGUGAGGAGUGAUUGUCAUAAUCCAUUAAAUAUUUUUUUUAUCUUAAAUAUGGCGGUUUAGAGAACCAUAUCGCUUUCUUUGAACGAAAUUUGAAGAUCGUAGUUGUUUAUAUUGACUGAAACAAAUUAAAAUUUUUCUUUUAAACUUUGAAUUUUUUUUUUUGAUUUGUUUUAACGGGAAAUGCACUUACUUC